GAGAAACCGAUGAGGAAGAGGAGUAUCUGACCUAUGUAUCGCCACAGAGAGUUCCGGAUGGUGGAAACGGAACGCCUUACCGUCAGUGAAUGGACUUCCGAGGGCAGCCUUGAACGAUUGCUUCAGUAGAGGCUGACGGGACCCCACCCGUUAUCCAUCGGGGCACGUAUGAUGGUACGUGUAAGCGAGUGGACAUUUUCACAAAUGUCAAUUUGGGUGGUAUCGCAGAAGUUUACGCUUUUGUCCCAUGU
rnacentral:ncRNA from 1 species